AAGACUAAUUAACAAAUAAUAUAGUUAUAUAUAAACAAACUUAAGAAGUGUAAGGUUUUUUCUGCUCUAUAAAAGUUUCAAUCUCCAUUCUUUAGCCCUCAAAAUCCUAUAUUUCACUUAGUCGUCACUCUCCUUUUCUUUAGUAUGUGAAUGACCUUCAUGAGCCUGUCGUUGUUACUCGAAUGGCAUUAAGUGAUAAAUACUUUCAAGGAUGUAUUUGUAGAUGACUUGCAAAUUGGAUCCUAGUAAGAACAAACAUAUUCAUUAGUUCAAAGAUAUCUUUCAGCAUGUUAGAAAAAAACUUGAAGUGUUAUGGAGCUUCAAAGUCUAAAUAGAGGAAUGAGGAAUGUGAUCAAGAUUGAGUUUGAGAUUCAAGAGUCAAAUGCACAUACAAAAUAUCAAGAAAAUUGUGACAGUUCUACAAAAAGUCGCAUGCGGCGUGAUCAUGAUACCAGGCUUGUGCUAUAUCAAGAGGAAAACAUGGAUCAAGGCUAAAAAGGGAGUUACCUGUGUCAACCGUGGCCACACUACCCAUCCAGGUUCGUGUGGUAUUUAUGAAAAAUGAGAAAUAAUCUUAAGAGUGGGAAGAAAUUGUCUUACAAUAUUCUUGUUUUUAAGGUGAGCUCAUGUAUCUAAAGACUAGUAAAAAUCACUUAUCCUAUGAAUUGAGUACUUACCAACUGGCCAAACAUGGUGGUUUGUCUUCAACACGAUAAACCUAAGUUUUUCUUUUUAGCUGACACAUGGAAAUCACCUGACGGCAAGUGUUUAAAUGUAAGACAAUCCGAACAAGAGUUCCUAUGGUUAUUGUCCAAGUAAUCGUAAAAGAGAUCUUAUAUAUGCUCAAAGUGAGAAAAUUCAUGAGAACAACAAGUAUUGAGGAAGAAGCAAUUGCAAUCAAAAAUGUCAUUUAUCAUUGUGUU